UGGGGAAUAUUGGACAAUGGGCGAAAGCCUGAUCCAGCCAUGCCGCGUGUGUGAAGAAGGUCUUCGGAUUGUAAAGCACUUUAAGUUGGGAGGAAGGGCAUUAACCUAAUACGUUAGUGUUUUGACGUUACCGACAGAAUAAGCACCGGCUAACUCUGUGCCAGCAGCCGUGGUAAUACAGAGAGUGCAAGCGUUAAUCGGAAUUACUGGGCGUAAAGCGCGCGUAGGUGGUUUGUUAAGUUGGAUGUGAAAUCCCCGGGCUCAACCUGGGAACUGCAUUCAAAACUGACUGACUAGAGUAUGGUAGAGGGUGGUGGAAUUUCCUGUGUAGCGGUGAAAUGCGUAGAUAUAGGAAGGAACACCAGUGGCGAAGGCGACCACCUGGACUAAUACUGACACUGAGGUGCGAAAGCGUGGGGAGCAAACA
rnacentral:rRNA from 1 species